CUGAGCCAGGUCGGCAUCGGGAGCCGUGAAGUCCCAUCGGGAACACCGCGCCACCGGGCCCUUCACAGAACAGAACGAUGGGAGAUCCCCCAAAUGACGUGGCAAUCCUGUGAGUGAUGGUCUCACCGUAUAAGCCCAUCUACAACACCACUACCAGCUUCGCUUGUUCAGUGGGACCAUCCUCUACACACCACCUAUGCUGCUCUCUGAAGACACUUCUUCCUCACCUGUGGGCUUCCUUCUGGAUCUGAACCCCCUUCCUUCCUUUGUUACAUAGUAAGAAUCUCCAGACCCGGAGAUAGAGGCCAGGAGAAGACGAUUCUGUGGGACCAAAGAAAAGAAGGAAGGCAAGAAGAACAUGACACACAGACCCGGAACGCCGGUGCCGGGGGGCCUCCAAGGGCCUAGAAGUAAACAUUUCUUUACUGCUGUAAUUUUUUCCUGGAUUAAAAAUCUUGAUUAGCCCUUGUCUUAUUUUGUGAAAAAGACAGAUAAGCAAAUAUCUUUUAAAAACGUUGAAAACACCACAAAUGUCAUAUACUUGCAUGUGUCU